AACGAACGCUGGCGGCAUGCCUAACACAUGCAAGUCGAACGAGAUCCUUCGGGGUCUAGUGGCGCACGGGUGCGUAACGCGUGGGAAUCUGCCCUUAGGUUCGGAAUAACAGUUAGAAAUGACUGCUAAUACCGGAUGAUGACGUUAAGUCCAAAGAUUUAUCGCCUGAGGAUGAGCCCGCGUAGGAUUAGCUAGUUGGUGUGGUAAAGGCGCACCAAGGCGACGAUCCUUAGCUGGUCUGAGAGGAUGAUCAGCCACACUGGGACUGAGACACGGCCCAGACUCCUACGGGAGGCAGCAGUGGGGAAUAUUGGACGAUGGGCGCAAGCCUGAUCCAGCAAUGCCGCGUGAGUGAUGAAGGCCUUAGGGUUGUAAAGCUCUUUUACCCGGGAUGAUAAUGACAGUACCGGGAGAAUAAGCCCCGGCUAACUCCGUG
rnacentral:rRNA from 1 species